CUCUAAUGGUGGUCUAUGAAAGGCUUCAAGUCACAGCUGCAAGAAGACUCAGAUACCUGACUGGCCUUCAGAUGCCAUUCCCUGAAGAAAAAUCCCUCAAAACAGCAAGUCUUCUAAUCUGGGAUUCACAUUGUAACUGCUGCUACUGUGUAAAUGACUGUUUUGAAACAGCUUGGCAGCAUGUGACACUGUCAUCAAAACCCAGCAAGCCUCAGCCACACAAUUAGUGCCAUUUCAGCAUCUUAGUCUAUAAUAAUUUGUCAUGCCCUUCAGAAAAACAGAAGUCAUAUUUUGAGAGUUUACACCCUAUUUGCAGAGGUGGAAAAUACUGAUUCAAGGAGCCAAGAAAAAGUCAUCUUAAAAGAGCAUUCAUAAGAGAAAGUAAUAUGACUGAAAAGGCAAUGAAGAGGGCCUGGGAAAACUCUCCUGCGUUGAAAUUACAGCUGUGUCACAGAAACGAUGAGCACAGGAAAUAGUUGCCUUAUAACUGUCUGUUGGGGUCCCAGUUGACUUCAGUGACAUUUGCUGCAGCUUAAGUAAGUGCAUUAGGAACAGCAGAGGAAUGUUCUGAAAAACAGUGCUCUUUAGGCUAGCAAUGAGUUUUCUGUGCCCAAUUCUGGCUUGCUGUGAAGUCUGUUUGGAGAAAUAAAUAAUUUUAGAGAGGCUUCUUUACCACGGCCUUACUCUUGCCAAAUAAAAAUAUCUAAAAUGAGGGACACUUUCUAUUGUCUUUGUCAAAGAGGAAUGUGAAAUACUUAUAUCCCUUCCCAUUUAAUUAGGUAAUUAUAUCUUUUCUUGUCAAAAGAAUUCAAGUGAUUAAACUGUUAAAAGUGGUAACCUCAGUUAUAGGAACCCUUCAGGGACCACUUUAUAGCCAUAAUACUAAUAAAUAACAAUUAUCAUCAUUGUACUUGAUAACACGAGGCAUGUUAUUUCUGAGUUGUCCUAAUGACUGCAUAACUUGAUAAGAAGAAUACCAUUGUUGGCAGAUAAGAAACACUUGAUAUUUUACUAGGUCAAAUUUAAAUUACUCUUUUUGAAAAGGUUUUGUAUACAAGCCAAUUCAGUUUACAGGUAUGACAAUUUUGAAUGUUUCUCACUAGGAAAAUGAAUGUUCUGUGAAUCAAGAUGUGAGAAUCACGCAGGCUAAAGGAGUAAUGACAUUUCAAUAAAAAUUGCAAGUGAUUCAUGUACCAUCAGCUCCUGUCAGAACUGAUAGGAGCAAACAAAGCAGUGAUGUGUACAGUUUUCAUAAUAACUUUGUAGUUCAUUGUCAAGUCUACAAUGAAUGUAAGCUCAUAUAAAACAGAGUAAUAAAAUAGACUGAUAUCUGUAAAGAUUAGAGUAUAUGUAUGUGCAUAUCUUUAUUUUUCUACUUUGUUAUUCUUUAAGAUUUAAGAUGUUAAGAAGUGAGGUCAUUAUUAUCAAUUCAAAUAUUGCAAUCUCUUUUUUACUGUUACUCCUUUUAUUUUUGUAUUUUACUACCACUAUAGUUAAGCCCAAAUCCCAUUUUAAACAUCCAACAAAUAGACGGAAUAGAAUAAUCACUUCUGAGAAAUCUUAAUGGACAGCUUGUGAAGCAUAUCGGGCAAAUAUAAACCAAAUAUCACUAGUAUCUAUCUUGCAAAUUGUUUUAAUGCAAGUUUCAUUUUCUUAAGGAUCCUGUA